rnacentral:lncRNA from 1 species
AAACUUCUAGCUCAAUUUGUGAAAAGUCUUGGCCCCCAAACAAAAAAAAAAAUAAUAAUAAUAAUAAAUAAAUAAAAAAAGAAAAAAAAAAGAAAGAAAAGGGGGCUAGCAAAGUUGUUUAGAGCUAAGAUUUGUUUAGAAGUUGAGAAAAUCCUUUAUAGAUUUCAAAGAAAAAGAGUUUUAUGUGCAAAGUAUUCUUGGGAUCUUUUGGUGAGAGAUGGAAGUUGGGUUUGACAUUGGGAAGUGAUUGUGUAACUUGUAUGUUUGGGAAAGGGUAGAACAAUGGAGAUUGAGCAUUGUAUGCAUGAGUUGGUCCAUUUCUUAGAUAUAUUAUGUGCAAUGUCAAGGCUACUUGUUUUG